rnacentral:rRNA from 1 species
GACGAACGCUGGCGGCGUGCCUAAUACAUGCAAGUCGAACGCUUUUUCUUUCACCGGAGCUUGCUCCACCGAAAGAAAAAGAGUGGCGAACGGGUGAGUAACACGUGGGUAACCUGCCCAUCAGCAGGGGAUAACACUUGGAAACAGGUGCUAAUACCGUAUAACACUAUUUUCCGCAUGGGAGAAAGUCGAAAGGCGCUUUUGCGUCACUGAUGGAUGGACCCGCGGUGCAUUAGCUAGUUGGUGAGGUAACGGCUCACCAAGGCAACGAUGGAGAGCCGACCUGAGAGGGUGAUCCGCCACACUGGGACUGAGACACGGCCCAGACUCCUACGGGAGGCAGCAGUAGGGAAUCUUCGGCAAUGGACGAAAGUCUGACCGAGCAACGCCGCGUGAGUGAAGAAGGUUUUCGGAUCGUAAAACUCUGUUGUUAGAGAAGAACAAGGAUGAGAGAGUGAUGGUAUCUUACCAGAAAGUCACGGCUAACUACGUGCCAGCCGCCGCAGUAA